rnacentral:rRNA from 1 species
GACGUAGGGUGCGAGCGUUAAUCGGAAUUACUGGGCGUAAAGCGUGCGCAGGCGGUUGUGUAAGACAGAGGUGAAAUCCCCGGGCUUAACCUGGGAACUGCCUUUGUGACUGCACGGCUAGAGUGUGUCAGAGGGGGGUAGAAUUCCACGUGUAGCAGUGAGAUGCGUAGAUAUGUGGAGGAAUACCGAUGGCGAAGGCAGCCCCCUGGGAUAGCACUGACGCUCAUGCACGAAAGCGUGGGGAGCAAACAGG